UGGGGAAUUUUGGACAAUGGGGGAAACCCUGAUCCAGCCAUCCCGCGUGUGCGAUGAAGGCCUUCAGGUUGUAAAGCACUUUUGGCAGGAAAGAAACGUCAUGGGUUAAUACCCCGUGAAACUGACGGUACCUGCAGAAUAAGCACCGGCUAACUACGUGCCAGCAGCCGCGGUAAUACGUAGGGUGCAAGCGUUAAUCGGAAUUACUGGGCGUAAAGCGUGCGCAGGCGGUUCGGAAAGAAAGAUGUGAAAUCCCAGAGCUCAACUUUGGAACUGCAUUUUUAACUACCGGGCUAGAGUGUGUCAGAGGGAGGAGGAAUUCCGCGUGUAGCAGUGAAAUGCGUAGAUAUGCGGAGGAACACCGAUGGCGAAGGCAGCCUCCUGGGAUAACACUGACGCUCAUGCACGAAAGCGUGGGGAGCAAACAGG
rnacentral:rRNA from 1 species